rnacentral:rRNA from 1 species
GACUUGUACUGUGAAACUGCGAAUGGCUCAUUAAAUCAGUUACGGUUUCUUUGAUGGUACCUUGCUACUUGGAUACCCGUAGUAAUUCUAGAGCUAAUACAUGCAGGAGUGCCCGACUUCGGAAGGGCUGUAUUUAUUAGAUAAGAAACCUUCUCGGGUUCGCCCGGUUGUGUGCUGAGUCAUAAUAACUGCUCGAAUCGCACGGCUCUACGCCGGCGAUGGUUCAUUCAAAUUUCUGCCCUAUCAGCUUUCGAUGGUAGGAUAGAGGCCUACCAUGGCGUUAACGGGUAACGGAGAAUUAGGGUUCGAUUCCGGAGAGGGAGCCUGAGAAAUGGCUACCACAUCCAAGGAAGGCAGCAGGCGCGUAAAUUGCCCGAAUCCUGACACAGGGAGGUAGUGACAAGAAAUAACAAUACAGGGCUACUUCUAGUCUUGUAAUUGGAAUGAGUACAACUUACAUCUCUUCACGAGGAUCAACUGGAGGGCAAGUCUGGUGCCAGCAGCCGCGGUAAUUCCAGCUCCAGAAGCGUAUAUUAAAGUUGUUGCAGUUAAAACGCUCGUAGUCGGGUUUCGGGUCGGGCCGAGCGGUCUGCCGAUGGGUAUGCACUGUUUGGCGCGGCCUUCUUUCCGGAGACCGCGGCUACUCUUAACUGAGCGGGCGUGGGAGACGGAUCGUUUACUUUGAAAAAAUCAGAGUGUUUCAAGCAGGCAGCUCGCCCUUGCAUGGUACAGCAUGGGAUGAUUGAAUAGGACUCCGGUGCUA